rnacentral:lncRNA from 1 species
UGUUUUCAUAUGGCUCUUUGAUUAACAUAAAAACUGUGGAAGCCCUCUGAUGUUUAUCUUUUGCUUUGUCUCCUUAGUGUUAUUCUGUGCUUACCCAUUCAAUUCACUGCUAAAUUUUGUAUAUUUCUCAACUGUAUCUUAAUUCAAUUGCAUAUUUGGAGCUCUGACAUUGUUUGUAAUAAUCUUGGAAUCUAACAUGAUUUUUGAUAGUUAUUCUCUUAUUAAUGUAGUGAGUUCACUUUUUCUUUUGAUAAUUUUGUUUUGGGGUGUUUACUUUUAACCCCAUUAAAUGAAACAUAGUUGAUGCAAAAGAUGGCAAUUUCUUGCGGAACACCAAACCUAAUAACAUAUUAGUGUUAUUUGUUUGUGCAAUUGAAAUGGGGGACAUGCUUGUGUUUGGUUGCAGGUCUGCACCCAACGCUCUUGGAAACGACCUUAUGGGGUUGGCCUGUUGGUGGCUGGCUUGGAUGAAUCUGGGGCUCAUCUCUACUACAACUGUCCGAGUGGAAAUUACUUUGAGUACCAGGCUUUUGCCAUUGGGUCACGCUCACAAGCUGCAAAGACGUACUUGGAGCGGAGGUUUGAGAACUUCGCAGAUUCCUCUCGGGAUGAUCUGGUCAAAGAUGCUCUUAUGGCUAUAAGGGAAACCCUGCAAGGAGAAACUCUAAAAAGCUCUAUAUGUACAGUUGCUGUGGUAGGGGUUGGAGAGCCGUUCCAUAUUUUGGAUCAGGAAACUGUACAACAAAUGAUCAAUGCCUUUGAGAUCGUGGGAGAGCAAGAAGGACCAGCUGCUGAACCUGAUGCUGCUGCAGGGCAAGAGGCUGCAGCUGAGCAGGGUGGUUCUACUGACGAAGGCGUAGCCCCAAUGGAUAUUUAAGGAUACCAGCAUCGGGGCCCAUCUCAUGUUUAGAUAAGGUUUUCUAGCGUGUGUUUGCGGAUUGAGUUAGUAACUGGUAGACAUUAUUGUGUUGGAUAUUUCCUUCUUUCUUUUGCAAACUAUGUUUUUACAAUUGCUGCAAGCAUGCACAUGCUAGCCUGACCCAAAACUUAAAACUAAAUUUACAGUUAUACCCAAGAUGCAGUCAUUCAAGUUGUCAACUUAAAUGAGUGUUGGUACAAAUUUGAUGCAGGCAUCAGGAUUUGUGACUGACCCAAACUUUGCAUCAGUGGCAGAAAAACGCUCGCAAACAUAUAUAUAGACUUUUAGAUUUGAAAGUAUUCAACAAUUUAUAAAUAUGUAUGUAAUUUUUUAUAAGAUUAACAGUAAUACAAACAUACAUGAAUUAUACAAUAAAUUGUCAUUUAUUCAUUAACUAACGCAUGCAUAAUCCCUUGCUUUAAAAGAGCAACCUAGUAUUCAGCAUUGUUUAUUACUAUUACAAGAAGUACUAGGCCUUUGACCACAAAGAGAAGUACUACGUCUAAGCAUAGCAAAGCCAGUCGCCUGCUGUAUACUGAUACACGAGGAGAAGGGCAAUUAUAAGUAGAAAACAAGCAUCUUAGGUACAUGGAACAUUAGACAACAAAUUACAUCUCUCCGGUCAUGAACUGCGACUCUGAGUAACCAUACAAACAGUAGAGUUUUAUAGCUAAAAAGAAGCCAAGGUUCUAUACUAAAACAUGUCCGGUAUUAUUUGGAAAAGAAAAAUCAUCCCUCUGCCAUGUACUUGGAACAUAACAAUAAAUUUUUCUUGAUGCCAAAUCUCAAGACUUUUGGAGCAAAUAAAAAAGCAACUAAUAAAUAAAAAAAAAGAUCAUUUUUGAGAGGACUUUUGCUCUUUAUCUGGUAGGACAUUGUCUGGAAGAAUUAGUUCUGGUGGAGUUUCACGGACAACACCCAGCAUUGAGUCAUACUCUUCAUCCCUCUUCGCAAACUUCUUGCGAAGAAUUUUCUCAAAUUCAAUUUCAUCAAAGGGUUUUGCAUUCUCAGCAGCAUGUACCUGUGCAAGGUUGGUAUAAUUGGUGGCUGACUGGGAAAUAAACGCUAUCUCUUCUUCAGUUAGCUUCCUCAGGAAUUUAGCAGGAUUGCCUCCCCACACCUGUCAACCAAAGAAGAUCGAACACCUCAUCAUCUAAAGUACAGGUACAUUUUUACAGCAUGGUAUGACUUAAAUAUUAAUAUGAGCAGUAGAACUGUCCCUGUAUUAUAUUUGUUACCAACAGGUGUCAUAGCACCUGUUUUAUCUUUAUCGUCUGAACAUAUAUGUAUAUGUUUUCUAACUUCUAAUACAUGUUUCUGGUUAAUUUUUUUAUUCAUAAAUGCUACAACAAGAAACGAAGGUGACUUUGAUUAACAGAUAAAUCAACAAGUUCAUCAAAUAUUUUUGAAAACAUGACCAGAAGACCAUGGAGUUCGUGGUACCUCUCCAGCAGGGAUCCUUGUAUUCUGUCUUACAAGGGCUCCAGCAGCAACCAUAGCAUGUUUUUCCACAACUACACCAUCAAGAAGUGUGGCUCCCAUGCCAACAAAUGCUUCAUCCUCAACGGUACAGCCAUGUAAAACAGCACUAUGACCUGAUCAUUUCAAAGUUUCAAUCAUACCUUAUUGAUGGAAGAAACUUUUCUAUCAGGUUAAUUCACAUGAAAUGUAUGACCGAUGCCACUUUCUUACCUACAGUAACAUUGUUUCCAAUGUUAGUUGGUAGCACUUUCCCACUUAGAUUAGACUUUGCAACAUGCACAAGGGAGUUGUCUUGUAUAUUAGUUCCAGAUCCAACACUAAUGCUGUUGACAUCCCCUGUUCAAAGCAUGACAAGGAUGAUAAUCAGCAAAAUCUAGUAAAAAUAAUGUCAAAGAAAUAACCCUAAUAUCUCUCUGAACAAAUUCAUAAGGGUCAAGAAAAUUAUAGCUUCCUCUACACGGGGUGGUUAAAAGAUAGUGGGGUAGGGUGUGAUCUCAGAAACCUUCCUCUUCAAGAGAUAUAGUAGUGAAGAGUCAAAUUUACUACCAUUCAAUAAAGACGUAUUAUUCAGGAAUGAUUCCUUAACCCAACUUUUUAGAAAGGCAUUGCUAUGUGGUAUGUGGCUGCAUGAAUUCAUUUUCAACUUUCUUAUUAGAAUAAUAAGGAACUGCAGUCACACAUGGUACAUACACUAAAUAUACCAGGGGAUUUCAUUUGAGGGAAGAAAAUAAUUGUCCGAAAUAUCUUCUUAACCCAAAAUUCUAUCUCCUUGAUAGGAGAAGAAUGAUAAAUACUAGUAAAAAUGAACCUGCUCUACAGGAGAAUAAGUCUGCCAUCUUAUGUAUUGUGGUUGUAUUUAAGGUUUUAAGAAGCAAGUGGAGUUGAGGACAUGAACCAGGUGGAAAAGAAGGUAUAUUAUACAAGUUGCAAGCACUUGCUUGUGUGAAUGAAUGAUUAUUUAGGAUGGCUAAAAUGUUAAAUGAAAUAUUAAGACAUAUCAGGAAGGCAAUACCAUACAAGAUAAAUAGAAAAAAAUUUAAAAGAACUGAUAAUUUAAAGUUGAAACCAAUAGCUAAUUUACAAACUACAUUCCUGUAAAUCAAUUGUUAAAAGUUGAGACAAGUAAUAUCCUAACUAGGACUAGCUACAUUUCUCUAGACCAAUUGUGAUAAACCCAGACAUGUAGUAAAUUUAAACUCAUUCAGAAUAUGUGCAGAAAUAACCAACUUAAGUCUACCAUCUUUAUUCGCAUGGUUUUCAAAUUAAAGCACACUAAACAUAAGCCAAUAGUAUUACCAUUAAUAAUGUCUAUUUGUUUCUCAAGUCACCAUCUAAAAGUUAAUUAGUAUAACCCUAAAACUUCAUAUGCUAAGUUGGAUAUAUAGUCCAUCCUUAAAUAAUUUCUUUUUUUUUUGGUCGAAACCAGGGUUUCCCCUCGCCGCGAGUGCUCACCAAAGAGGUAAAUGGCUGGCCAUGAAAUGUGCUACAUUCCCAUGGGCAAGGAUCAAACCCCCCGACCUCAUGAUUAAGGGAUGAAGUGAGCAACCACCACACAACACUUCUUUGGUGUGAGAAAGUUGCAAAGUUGGAAGUACAUGCAGCUAAUAGGGACGUAGGCAUAUAGUUGGCCUUUAUUAGACUUAUGUUGCUAAUAGUUUUUGUUCUUUAAUCAAUUGAAAAAAAAAAAAGAGACUAUUGCCAUUAAACAAAAACCAAAUUGAGUAUAUAAGCAAGUAUCUUACCCCUUAAAACACAUCCAUACCAAAUAGAUGAUCCUCUUCCCACCUGAACAUCGCCAAUGACAGAUGCGCUAGGGGCUACAAAUGCAUCCUUGUCCACCAGAGGAGAUUUAUCAAAUACGUUCAUCAGAGUCCGAUGCCUAGAAACUAUGAAUAAAAAUAAAAAGAAAACGUAAAUGCAGUCGGAUAAUGAAAAAGAAAAAACUAAAGCAACAAAAGCAAAAUCCUAUCUUUGAAAACAAAAUGCAAUGAUAAAAAAAAAAAAGGUAAAACGAAGUCGAAUUCCCUCAGAAAUCAGAAAGGCAAAUAACCAUUUAACCAGUACAAUUGGCUAAAUUAGGUGGAGAAAAAAACCCUAAGUUUAUAAUCAUAACUGUACUUGUAAUUUUAUACAGAGGCAGUCUAAUUGUUUAAUAAUAACAUCAAAGAAAAUGUAAGCUAGAAAAUGAGAAGACAUAAAAAGUAUAUUUGAUAUUUGAAAUUAGCUGAAAACCCCCAAAGAUUGAAUCCAUAUUUGAGAUUGGAAUCAGCUUAGGAAUAGAAGUUCAAGCUGGAAAUGAAAUAAAACUCACGUUGCUCCUGGAAAAAAUAGUUGCCUUGUAGGCGGCAGCCUAGGCGAUCGAGAGCCUGACCGGUCUCCCGAAUCCAGAAUCCGACGGUGUAUAUUGCUUUUCCAAGGCUUCCCAUCUUCAGCUUUGAUCGGUGAUUGCGCAGCGGGCGAGUGAUUAGGAAACAAAGCUCGAAAUGGUGAGAAGGGAAAUAAUGCUCUCAUUCCUCUAUUAGUUUAGUGGUAGACUGGUAGGGUUGAAUCUUCUGGGCCUAACUCAACUUCUCUCAACUCAGUCUGAGUCUGUUGUAUUGAGUUGAGUUGUCUUGGACUCUUCUUGAGUGAUAGCCCAAUAAUAAUAUAGGUGUUUGGAUUAAAGUUAGUAAAUGAUUAAUCUCGGAACGUUAUUUAAUUAAUUUAUGGGUAAUUACAUCACAGGCCAUCCAACUAUGAGUCAUUUUCUUUUUUUUUCACCUAUGAAUUUUUAAAAUUGGUCACCCAGCUAUGAAUUUGUUUCUUUGUUGGUCACCCAACUAAUCAUUUUGUCUAUUUUCAUUAAUUGCACUGAUGGAAAGUUGACAUGAUAGUUGAAAAAUUGGUAUAAUAUUAAAUUUAACCUUUAGUUUUACCUAUUAUAUCGAUUUAUUCAUAAUUUUAAAAAUUAAGGCUCAAAAUUUACAAAUUAUCUCAAUUUGGUUGUAUUUCUAAAAAAUUUUAAAAAUUAUAAAAAUACAUAAAUAUUUUUCAAAAUAUAAUAAAUUAUAUUUAAAUUUAUAUUAAAUAAAAUAAUUAUAUUAAUAUUAAAUUUAAAAAAAACCCUCUUCUCUUCCCCCCACCGUCCCUCUCUUGGCAUCCCUCUCCCUCUCCUUCUCCUUCUCUGUUGUUUUUGCUGCUGAAAUUGCAACAAGUCUCGUAACUGUAAAACCAAAUGGUGAAAGGUACAAGUGCCACAUUCACUACCCCUAUGCUCUGUUCCCCAAAGUAGAGUGUCUCCCCAGCUUUCCUUCCAGGGUCUUCAAGCAUUGCAUUAACUCCUCAUUUGCUUCCUCUUGGUCUUUUUCUCCCAUCCAUAUUCUCCUCCCAAUGCCAUAUAUCUAUCGUAUUUGCAUAUGCAUGGAAUUAUUCAGCAUUUAUGUUCAAACCAAACCAAAUAUAAAAAUGAUUACUAUACUAUGCACUGGCAAUGGAAUAAAAAAUAUAAUAGGCACAAAAGAAGGCUUGUGAACGUUGGUAAUGAUCAGAAUGAAGCAAAGAUAAUUUGUGAUUCCAAAGUUGGACCAUGAAUUGGAGGAUGGUGAGAUGGGAUUCCCAUUAUGAAUGAGAAUAGGGAUAUGCUUUUGGUUGGGUUCAUUUCAAGGAGUAGAGGCUCAAGUUGUUUCAAAACGGUGGUAGAGAGGGAUGGGGGAGGGGAGGGGAGGGUUUUAUAAUUUACUAUUAAUAUAAUUGUUUUUAUUUAAUAUAGGUAUAAAAUUUAAAUUUAUUAUUAUAUUUUUAAAAAAUAUUUAUGUAUUUUUAUAUAUUUCUUUAUUUUUUUAGAAUUAGGAUUAAAUUGAAACAUUGCUAAAUUUUAAGGGUUAAUUUUUAAAAUUAUGACUAAAUCAAUAUAAUAUGUAAAAGUUGAGGUCUAAAUUUUUUAUUGUACCAAUUUUUCAACUGCCACUUCAACCUCCCGUUAGUGCAUUUAACGGAAAUGGACCAAAGAAAAAAUACCAAUCACGAUUAGUUUGAUGACCAAUUUAAAAAAAAUCAUAGUUGGUGUAACACCCUUAACCCAUUCCCAUCGUCAGAACAGGGUUUCGGAGUAUUACCAAAACAUUCAGAACAUUUUACAGAUAAUUCUUAUAAAUUACUAUUCAUUUACUGAGAUCAUUCAAAACGUCCUUUAAUUGGACCCUCGGGGUCCAAUACAAGCAUUAGAAUCAAGUCGGGACUUAAAUAGAAACUCAUAAAAUUUUUUGCAACAUUUCAAAAUUUUUCCGAAGUUGCAAGGCUCACACGCCCGUGUGGUCUAGGGACACGUUUGUGUGGUCAGGCUGUGUACUACACACGCCUGUGUCCUUAACCCAUGUAAUUCUCUGACUUUUAAAGUAUUAAGAAAUUGAAGUCACACGUCCGUGUGCUAGGCCGUAUGACAAAUUUUAUUUUCGAAAUCUAGGUGCAAUUUUCACACGACCGUGAAACACACCCGUGUUCAAGGCCGUAUCAACCACACGGCUGACACACGCCCGUGUCUCUGCCCAUGUGCCCAAUUCUGAGCAUUCUGUUUCUCAUUUUUGAGAUGCAUGGAACACAUGGCCAGACCACAUGCCCAUGGGACAAGCCGUGUGUCACACACGGCCAAGACACAUGCCUGUGUGUCUACUCACGUGGACAAAAUAGGCAAUUUCCUACCCUCAUUUGUCACCCAAGACUUACUAUUUUCCUGCACCAAAACUCACAAGCAUAUAUCCACCAAUCCAACGUCUUAUACACAUAAAAUUUGCCAUCAAUCAUGUGGUAUUAUCUCAUGCAUCAAAGGAUAUAAACUUACUCUCAACAUAAACUUAUAUGCUAACAUAAUUCCAACAAACUAGCACAUAAUAAGCACUUAUGUGAUUACCAAAAUAUUUCUUCAAAAAUAGCCAAACUUAGACCAUCACUAGCCACUCCAAUGGCUAGAUUACAAAACCACAAUUACAAGCCAUCAUUGGUCAAAUAAGCUUAUACAUGCCAUUAUACCAAAAUGAGAUUUCUAUUUAUACCAAAAUGAGAUAGUGGAUAGUGUGAUGACUGCUCCGACCGACUUUCAACCUUCACGAGCUUUGAGUACUAUAAAACGGGAAAAUUAAACGGAGUAAGCGUUUUAUGCUUAGUAAGUUCGUAUAACGGAAAAUAAACUUACUGGUCAUAUUUAAUAAUACAAGCAUACAUAAAUUUACAUUCCAUCAAUUUUGGGUAAGUUACCUAAACACAUGCACUUAUCCAACAAGUUAGUCACAUAAUCUCAUACGAAUAUCAAGCAAAUAUAGAUGAGCUCAUCACAUUACAAGCUUCCAUUAAUUUCACGUUUCCACACUUCAAGGGUCAUUUCCGUUGAACUAUUGAAAUCUCGACAGAUGUUCGCGUAAUAUACACAUGUGCAAAAGUACCCAUUAGGGUACAUAAGAGAAAGACACUAUUGAGCCGUACAUUUUACAGUAGGAUUGCCAGUCCAGGCUAAAUCCUAUCCAUAGCAUAUGCUCUAGAGAGCUUAAUAUGGAUUACCCAUUCGGGCUAAAUCCAAUUUAUAACCUAAGCUCAAGAGGGCUUACAUUAGAAUUACUCGUCCGGGCUAAAUUCUAUCUGCAACAUGUGUACUAUUAUUCUUAACCCAUCGAAAUUCAACAUUCAACCGGGACAUGAUAAUUUGUCCAUAUUACACAACUUAAGACUAUGUCAUUAUGUAUAUAUAUCAUCUCACACAUAUCAACACAAGCAUACAAUUCAAUUCAAGCAUAUUAACAUGUAUUUUUAAGUUACACGAACUUACCUUUAAAAGGGUUCGUAUUUGAAUUUCGACUAAUCCGAAACUUUUUGCUUUCCUCGAUCUAGUUUUGUAAUUGGUCUUUCCGGAUCUUAUUGAGCUUGAAAAGUUUUCUUCCUCUCUCCUAGGGUUUCCAUAGAAAAAUUGGGGAAGAUGAUAUCAAAUUAGAUGAUUUUUCUUUUUAAUUAAUUAUCAUCAAUUAAUUUUAUUGAUUUUUAAUUUAGUCCCUGCCCAUUUCUAAUUUUCCCAUAGAUGAGUCAUUAAAAUAUCUACUAACUGCUCUUCAAUGGUCUAAUUACCAUAUAAGGACCUUAAGUUUUGAAUUCCAUAGCUAUUUGAUACCUAUAGCUACUAUAACCCAACUUUUACAUUUUAUACAAUUUAGUCCUUUCCUUAAUAAAACACACAAUCAGUAAAAUUUUCGUGCCAAAAUUUUCAUGUGACCCUCUUAUAAUUAUGCCAAUCAUAAAAUAAAAUAAAAUAAAUUUUUAAUUUUGGCUCAGAUUUGUGGUCUCGAAACCACUGUUCCGACCUCACCGAAAAUGGGCUAUUACAGUUGGCUGACCAAAAAAGAAACAAAUCUAUGGUUGGAUGACCAAUUUAAAAAAUUCAUAGUUAGGUGAUAAAAAAUGACCCAUAAUUGGGUGACCUGUGAUGUAAUUCACCCAUAAAUUAAUUAAACAAAGUUCCAAGAUAAAUAAGUCUAACAAAUUUAGAAAUUUUUUAAAGUAUUAAUUGGGGUAAAAGAAAUUUAGGAUUAAAGUGAAAAGGUAGUAGAAACUAAGUAAUUCAUUGACAAAAAAUUUCAAAUUGUACUUGUUUAUCACAUUGCCAAGAAUUCUAUUUUUCUUUCUUGAUAAUGUUAACCAAUUUGUUAUUGUAAUAUUGAAAUUAAUUAAAUUAAUCUCCUAAAUUUUAAAAUUAUAUUUUAUGUUUCCAUAUUAAUCUUAAUGAAAUCAACUUGAUAAAUUAUAGUUAAUAAUUGUCUAUGAAGCUUAAAUUACUUUUGAUUAUAUAAUCUCAAAUCUGCCAUACUAAGCUUAAAAUAAAUUUAUUGCAAUUAAUUAAAUUAAUUGAUUAUUCUUCCUUUGUGUAAAGAAUGUAAAAUUUAUUAGAUUUAGAUAUUAUGCAAAUCAAAUAUCUAAUAUUACAUAAACAUUGAUUUUAGGGUCUUUAGAAUAAUAUGAUUUUUACAAGUUUAAGAGAUACUUGAUGUGGAAUUAGAUUUCACCAUUAACCUUGACAAAGAAAAACAUGAAGAAUACCCGAUAAAUUGAUUUCUCCCUCUUGGCCUAUUCCUUUAAUUAUACAAACCUUAAGUGAUGGUAUAAUAAUCAAAUUUUAAUCCCAUUCGUCUAUCAAGUAACCGAAUGAAUGGAUAGAGUUCAAAUUCUAUUCAAAGUAGAACUCUUAUAUCCUUUAAAUUGGGCCACAUUAUUUUAGACUUGAUUAGAUCUACAAAAUUAGGAUAAAAUCUUACAUUCUCCCACUUGGCCCAAUGAGGUAAAAUAUAAACUCUAAUAGAAUAAACUUUGAGCGCACAUAAAAAAACACUCAUCACAAUUACCACAUUAUAGUAAAUUACAAAUGUGAGUUAUAACGGUUGUAUAUAGCUUAAGUCACAUGCUUCCUUUUGUAUAGUACAAUAUUACAACUCAAUAUAAUAGGUAUUUAAGUAACUAUAAAGCUUUUCUUAUUUUAAAUGAUUUCAAAAACUAUGUACACACAAUCAUUAUAACAAGAAAUAUGUCCAUUUUAUUUCAGAAACUUCAUAACUGAGCUUAGAGUGUCAAAAAAUCAUAAAAUUCCAUUCAUCAAGACAACCAAGACCCAUUCUAUGUACAUGUUCUUUAAAUAUCUUUGGUUGUAAGCCUUUAGUUAACGAAUCAACAACCAUAAGAUUAGUUCUAAUAUGCUUUAUAAACACUAUUUGUUUUUGAACUUCAUCCUUAAUGGCAAAAUAUUUUAAUUCCAUAUGUUUUUCACAUUUGGAAUAUUUGUCAUUUUUGGAGAAAAAUAUUGUUGUGGAGUUAUCACAUUAAACUUUUAGUGGCUUGGUGAUGGUAUCGACUACGUUAAGUGUAACAACCUGAUUUGGGGCUAGUCAGAAUAGUGGUCUCGGGACCACAAAUCUAGAGUCGAAUAAAUUAUUUUAUUAUUAUUUAGAGGUUAUAACAUGUUUUUAAGAGUGCAUGAAAAUUUUGAUGAGUUAAUUGUGACGUUUGUGAGCCCAAUUGUGAAAAAAGAUUAAAUCGCAUAAAAUGCAAAAGUCCUAUUUUGAUAGCUAGAAGUGUUAAAAGCUAGAGAAUAAAAUUUGGGGGUCUUUAAAGGGAAAUUAGACCCUUUUAAAAGAGCUUGGCCGACCAUGAGACAAGAAGAGUGAAUGGUCAAAAUGUUAGGUAAUUUGAUGACAUAAGGUAUGAUAUAAUAAUGCCAAAAUUUUUAGUAAAGAAAUGGGGUUUUAAGAGCUUGAAAUUUCAGAAACUUUAAGCCAUCACAAGUAAGUGAUUUUAAUGACUUUUCUUGAAUAUUUUUGUAUUUUUGAGAACCUUGAAGCAUGAGCUUUCAAAGGAGGUACUACUUUGCAAAAUGUUCAAGAGUGUAGGGUUUUGCCAUGAAAGGGUUUGUGAUGUUUGCUGAUUUUUUAUGGAAAAAAACAAGUCUUGGGUGUGUUAUGAACAACUUUUGUGAAAGGUGUUAGCAUGAAAACACCUAAAAAGACUAUUUUGCAUAAGUUGUAAAAUAAAUGUUAAAUGUGUGAAUUAGUGGGAAUUUGGAGUUAUUAUAAGAGUAGAAAGGGUUCGGCCAACCUUAAGAUGCAAAGAAAUUCGAUAAAAAUCGAUUUUCGAGAUUAAGGGUAAAAUGGUCAUUUUGCAAAAGUCUAGGGCAAAUUGGUCAUUUUGCCCAAUUAUGAAUUGUAGAGUGCCUAGAUUGAUAAAGUGACUAAAUAAGUGCAUUUUGUUAUUAUUGAUCAAGAAAUACCAAAUCUGAACCUAGACCGAGGGAAAGCCAAACAAAUCGACUAAAUCGACUAGUCGCUACAUUUUGUAAUCUGAGGUAAGUUGUAUUAUUUACAUACAACUACAAUAUUAAUGUAUGUGUUGAACUGUACGUGAAUUUAAUAUAGCUUGAAUUGCUUGAUUGUGGAAUUGAGAAAGCACGAUGGCAAUAAAGAUAGUAGAGUUCCCAUUUGAACCUAGGAAAUAAAUCGGAUAUUCAUGCCAUAACAUAUGGAUUAUUGUGAGGUAGUGUAAGACCAUGUCUGGGACAUGAUAAGACCAUGUCUGGGACAUGACAUCGACAUUGAAAUGAGUGCUAGUGUAAGACAUGUCUGGGACAUGCAUCGGCCUCAAGACGUAAGCUAGUGUAAGACAUGUUUGGGACAUGCAUCGGCUAUGAGAUGUGUCAGUGUAAGACCAUGCCUGGGACAUGGCAUUGGCAUGGAUAUGCUAGAGCUUGUGUAAGGCCAUGUCUGGGACAUGGCAUCAGCACCUUACCCCAUGUUUGAGGCUUGAUGAACAUCUGAUAGUGUUCCAAAUGGUUCAACGGUGAAAGUUAUGAUUUCAAGUUAAUGAGGAAAGUGUAAAUGUGUUGUGAGCAGUACAUGUACUUGUUUGAUAUAUAUAGAAUAUGAGCUAAUUUUACGAUAUACGAUGUGUAUCGAAUAUCGAUGAGUAAGGUUUGCUUAUGCCCAAAUGUAUGUUAUGAGUUUAUUGAUGAAUGGUAAAGUUAUGUUGCAUAUUCAUUUAUGUACAACUUACUAAGCUUUAUGCUUACUCCCUCUCAUUUUCCAUUUUCUUAUAAUGUCGCCUAUCUAGCUCAAGGACCAAAGGAAGUUAGAGAUAUCGAUCACACUAUCAAUCGAAGCAUUCGGUAUAAUUUGAUUUAUAUUUUUGAAUAUGGCAUGUAUAGGGCUUAGACUUUACUAUUUUUGUGUUAUUGAAAACUGGCUAAAUGUGUUAGCUUGGGUUGGAAACCCUUCAUUUUGUAUUAAGCCUUGAAUAGUGACAAAUAUUCAUUUUGAUUUAUAUGCAAAGAUGUAUUUUCAUAAAUGAAUAAAAUGCACUAUUGGAAUGUUGUCUAUUAUGGCUGAUUGGUUUAAAUAAGUUAUUCUUGUAUUGGUUUGGUUGCUUUUGUGUAGGUUAGGUAAGUAAGGGUGGCAAUUAGGCUUGGUAAAUAGCCUUAUAUUGUCCGCACGGGUAGACACACGGUCGUGUGUCUGGGCCGUGUGUGACACACGGUCUGCCUAUGGGCAUGUGGUCUAGCCGUGUGUCCCUUGCGCGUAAAAUUUUUAAGUCAGUAUGCAUGGUAGUAAACAAACGGGUAGAGACACGGUCAUGCAUCUCAGCUGUGUGAGGGACACGGCUUAGCACACGGGCGUGUGCCUUGGCCAUGUGACAUUUUGGGGUUGCUGACGUCAGAAACAGAAUGUCCAGGUUUUUCCACACGGGUGGAGGACACGGGCAUGUCCCUGUAUUGCCUAGGUUGUGUGAGCCACACGGGCUAUCAAUACGGCCAUGUUGAAAUGGCCACACAGGCGUGUUUCCCUUUUACACGGGCAUGUGUCUUGUUUCAAAGUCAAUUUUUCUAUAGAUGGUUUAAGGACCCGGAUUGAUCCCGAAUAGUUUUCAAUGGUUGAUUUGAGGCUCGUAGGCCCAUAAUAAGAAGUUUAAAGUAGAAACUAAAAAAGUUUUAAAUUGGACCAAGUUUUGGUAACUUGGGGAAUGUUUGUGUGCAUGAGAUCGAGUUUGGUAAUGUCUCGUAUUCUGCUCCAGUGUGGGUUACGGGUAUAGGGUGUUACACUAACUCUUGAAAUAAAGUUCCACAACUAUAAUGCGUGAAUAGUAUCCUCAAAACAUGCUACAAGCUCUACUUUUAUCAUAGAUGAUGUAAUGGAAAAUUGUUUAGUACUUUUCCAUGACAUGGCUCCUUUAGCAAGCAAAAAUAAAUAGCCAAGACAUCUAACAAAAUUUUAAUUCAAGUAUCUAAUCACUUUCAAUUGAGUAGAUCUCUUGUACAUGAGCAUGUAAUUCUUUAUCCAUUGUAGGUAACGUAAAACUUUCUUUUCAGCUUUCCAAUGAUCAAUUAUAGGCUUACUUCGAUAUCUGCCAAGCAUCCCAACUGCAAAGCUAAUGUUGAGUCUUCUAUAGGUCUGAUCAUAUAUUAAACUACCCACAACAGAAGCAUAAGGAAUUGAUUUCAUUCCCUUUCAUUUCAUAUCAUUCUUUGGACAUAGUAUGAGACUAAAUUUGUCCAUUUUUGUAUAAGAACAAUUCCUGCUGAACAACUAUACAUGUUAAAUCUAUAAUAAAAUUCUUUCGAUAUAGUUUUUAUGAGAUAAUCCUAACAAUCCUUAUGAUCUAUCAUGGAAUAUUUCAAUUUUUAUCACAUGGGAUGUUUCUCCCAUAUCUUUCAUUUCAAAUUUAUUCGAGAGAAAAACUUUUAUCUCACGCAAUAUACCAAAAUCAUUUACGCAAGAAAAAUAUCAUCAUCAUACAGAGCCAAGAAAAUAAAUUUGUUUCCACUAAUCUUUUGGUAUAUAAACUGAUCAAUGAUGUUUUCUUGAAAACCGAAAGGCUUUAUGGUAUCAUUAAAUUUGAUGUACCAUUUUUGUGAAGUUUGUUUGAGUUUAUAUAUUAACUUCUUAAGUUUACACACCAUAUGACAUUUUCCUUCAACUAUAAAACCUUGAAGUUUGUCCAUAUAAACUUCUUCAUUAAUAUCUCCAUUUAGAAAGGUUGUUUUCACACCCAUUUGGUGUAACUCUAAAUCGUAAUUAGCUACCAAUGUCACAAUAAUUCUUAAGGAAUCUUUCUUAGAGACUGGUGAGAAAGACUCUUUAUGAUCAAUACUAUCUUUUUAAGUGUAACCUUUGACAACAAGUUUAGCUUUAUAUUGUUUGAUAUUUCCAUUUGAGUCACAUCUAGUUUAAAAAACCAUUUACAUCCAACUCAUUUUGAACCUUUUGGCAAUUUGACAAUGUCUCAGACUUUGUUUUGUUCCAUAGAUUUCAUCUCAUCUUUCAUGACAUUUAACUAUUUAUCAAACUCAUCACUAUUUAUGGAUUUUGAAAAUGAAACUAAAUCUCUAUUGAUUCCAAUAUCAAAAUCUGAUCAUUACAAAUAAAUCACAUAAUCAUCAAGAAUAAUCGAUUUUCUUUCUUUUUAAAAUCUUCUUAAUGACAUCAUUUAUGGUCCAUUUUUAUUAGACCUUUGUGAGUUAGUUUCUUCUAUGGUUGUUUCAUCAUUUAAAUGUUGUUCAACAUUACUAGGGCAUUCAUUAAUUGUUGGAACAACAUUUGUGGAUAAAGGAACAUUGUGAGGUGUAACGCCCUAAAAAUUUGGUUUUCAAAUUUUGUAAAUUUUUGACACAAAUCUGUAUCUGCUUCAGUGGUUAAGUGUUUUGGGGGCGUGUGAGAGGUCCCAAGUUCAAGCUAGGACUUGGGCAAAUUUUGGUAAUUUUUUAUAAACAAAGCCUUAACCUGGCCUAAAAGGCUUAAGUUUAAUAGUUGGUAAAUAAUUAUCAGAAUGUGCCUACUGGUCUAGUGGUUAAGUGGAGUGUUGGUGUGUUGGAGGUCUUGUGUUUGAUUUUCUGCGAUGGCAAGGAGUAGUAUUUUUGUAACAGCCAAAUUUUUAGUGGUGUCGGAAACAGUGAUUCGAGAUCACUAAAUCCGAUGAGUAAGUUUAGAAAUUUUAAUAAAUAAUAAUUAUGGGCUAAGCGCGAACUUAAAAGAAUUUUUUUUAAUUAGUGAAUUUUACGAUUUUAAAAGAAUUAAUCAGGUAAAUUGGGUUGAAAACAAGGUAUCGAGACCUCGGAUUCAUAAACCGAGCCAUAAAUAUUUUUAUAAAUAUUUAUGGAGUGUUAUUAAGUUAGUAUUAAAGUUUCGUUAGAAAAUUUUAACGUUUGGUUAGUCAAUUAAUUAAAAAGGACUAAAUUGAAAAUAGUGUGAAAUUUGUUAAAUUGUGAUUAAAUAGUUUAAGUGAUUAAAAGGAGGGAUUUAAAAGGCAAUUGGACCCAAAUUGUAUGGGCUGGACGUUGGGCAAAAUCAGCAAAAAGACAAGGAGAAAUAAGGGCAAAAUAGGAAAUUUUGCAAAUUAAACAUAUAAAACAAGACAAAUUUGAAAAAUCUAGAGAUAUCAUCAUUUUUCUUCAGCAAAAACGUCAUGGGAGGUCUGAAAGUUGCUGGUUUUUCAUACUUUGACAUAUUUUAGUUCAAUUCUUGCUCUUUUCUUUGAGAUUUUUAUGUUUUUGAGACUUUUACAAUUAGGUCCAAGUGUUUAAUUCAUUAGUUUUUGAUUUUAUGGACAAAAUUGAAAGCUACCAUUGAUAAGUGUUGGUUGUUUAUGAUGAAAUAAAAUGAAUUUGAAGCUUUUAUCUUGUUCUUUGAUGAUUUUAUCAAGUAAUUUCAAUAGAAAUUGAUUUUAGGACCUAAUUGUGAAAAAGUUGUGAAUUAAGGUUUAGUGUUAAAAUUUUGAUUUUCAAAGGUUGUGUAAUAGUUUAGAAUAAUGGAAUAAGAUGUUAAUUGAGAAAAAUUAGCUUAAUAGAUGGGCUAAUUGAGCAAGGACUGAAUUGUAUGACCUGUGAAAUUUAGAGGAAAAAUGGUAAUAAACAUCUUGAACUAAAACAGUUUUGGACAGCAGCAGUAGGUUAACUUUGGAAAAUCACCAUAAAUUGUAAAAAUAUAAUUAGAGGAUAAAAAAAAUAUUGAAUUAAAGCUUAUUGAGUCUAGUUUCUCAUAGAAGAAACGGUGUAAGCAAUUGAAUUGUAAAUUAUGAGAUAUAAUAAAUUUUGUGAGACAAAGUCAGAAUGAAUUCAGGUUCCCGUAUUUUGACUUUGCAAAAUCACCAAAAAUUGGAGAAAAUUUAUUUGAGGCUCAAAUUUAUAUGCUUAGAAUCCUUAAUGAGUCUAUUUUCAAUAGAAAUCAACAGGAACAUUAUCCGAGUUCUGUACAUAUAAUUAAUUUUUAGUGAAGAGAGGUCAGAACUAUCAGAUAGUGAAACAGGGGAAACUUAAAUGAAUAAACUGUACUAAUUGGCUAGACCAAAAAUUAUGAAAAUUUUAUGGUGGAAUGAUAUGUGAGUCUAGUUUCAGGGAAAAUUUACGAAUCUUAAUUUGAAGCUCUGUGGCUCGAAUUAUAAAUAAUUGAGUGACUAUGACUCGUGUGAAAAUUUACGGAUCUUAAUUUGAAGCUCUGUAGCUCGAAUUAUAAAUAAUUGAGUGACUAUGACUCGUGUGAACAGCUUGAUGUGAGCAUUAAUAAGUAAAUUGUGAAAUAGUACUUACAAGAAUCUUAUAUACAUUAAAGAUGUGGAAUGGAAAGGAGAAGGAGGAAAAUAAAUGAUAUAUGUUUAUAAGAAAACAGUAUGAGAAUGAUGCAUAUCAUGACAUGUAUAUAUAUAACUAGUUUCAAUAUGAUGCUUGUUGGGUAUGAAGUUGGAUUGAAAUGUCUCAAGCAAGUAUUUUAUUAUGCUCAUCUGAAAUGUGGUAUUUUAUGAAGAUAUGAUCUAGCUUUAAAUAUGAAUGCUUGAUGAUUAAGUUGAAAAUAUUUGGUAAGAUGAUAAUCAUGGUAUAAAAGUAUAAGUGGUACCAUAAUAGACAAGGUAAAAUGAGUAUGAGAGAUACAUGUAUGAGUAUAAGUGACUAUGACUCAUGUGAAAAUUUACGGAUCUUAAUUUGAAGCUCUGUAGCUCGAAUUAUAAAUAAUUGAGUGACUAUGACUCGUGUGAACAACUUGAUGUGAGCAUUAAUAAGUAAAUUGUGAAAUAGUACUUACAAGAAUCUUAUAUACAUUAAGGAUGUGGAAUGGAGAGGAGGAGGAGGAAAAUAAAUGAUAUAUGUUUAUAAGAAAACAGUAUGAGAAUGAUACAUAUCAUGACAUGUAUAUAUAUAACUAGUUUCAAUAUGAUGCUUGUUGGGUAUGAAGUUGGAUUGAAAUGUCUCAGGCAAGUAUUUUAUUCUGCUCAUCUGAAAUGUGGUAUUUUAUGAAGAUAUGAUCUAGCUUUAAAUAUGAAUGCUUGAUGAUUAAGCUGAAAAUAUUUGGUAAGAUGAUAAUCAUGGUAUAAAAGUAUAAGUGGUACCAUAAUAGACUGGGUAAGAUGAGUAUGAGAGAUACAUGUAUGAUGACAUACAAAUACUAUGUUUGUAGUUUAAUUGAGAAUGUUUAAUCAUUAAAUGAAUACCAUGUUAUAUGCUUUUGAUUUUGUAUGAGUGUGUAAGAGAUUAAGGUUGACCAAGGCUUGGAAAAUAGCUUAGGUAUUGACCACACAGGCAGAGACACGGCUGUGUGUCUCAGCUGUGUAUGGAACACGACUUUAGGACACGGGAGUGCGAUGUGGCCGUGUGCCCCUAAAUUGAUGAUGAUGUCAUAAACUGAAAGCUCCACAGACAAGGGACAUGGGCGUGUCCCAAGCCACACGGGCGUGUGGAAUCUACACGGCCUAAUCACACAGGCAUGUGGGUACUGUUCACAAGUAAAAUUUUAAAAAAAAAUUAAGCGAAAAUUUUUAUGAAAAAUCGGUUAAGUUCCGACUUGAUUUUAAUGUUCAUGUUGGGCUUCGAGGGCCCAAAUAAAGGUCGUUAUAUAUAUAUGAUCUUAGAAAGUGAAUAGUAAUGUUUCGAUUAAUUUGUAUGUAAUGACCCAAAUUUUACGGUUAUCGGGAAAGUGAAUUUUCGGGUCUCCAUUUCUAAAAAAAGGAUUCGUAAAUAUUUUUAAUAAAUAUUUACGAAGUCAAUUGAGUGGUUAAUUAGACUUUAAUUAAGUAAAUUUAGCUUAAUUAAGAGUAGUUAGUGGAAAGGAUUAAAUUGAAUUAAGUGUGAAAGUUUAAUUAUAGAAUAAAGAAAAGUGAAGGGACUAAAUAGAAAAUAAGCCAAAAAGAUGUAACAAAUGUAUGGUUAAAAUAAGUUAAAUGUGUACAAAUAUAAAUGGUACACAUGUAUUAUACAUGUGUAUUUACUUAUUAUAUAAGUAAAAUAAUAUUAAUAUAAAUAAUAAUUAAAGUAUAUUAUAUUAAUAUUAUUUUAUAUUAAUUAAUUAAAUAAAUAAAAGUUAUGACAAGUGUAAGGUGAUAAAUGAAUACAUGUGUAUUAAUAAAUAUACACAUGUAUAAAUAAUAAAUAUUAUAAUAGUUUAAUAAUAAAAUAAAGAAAUGAAAUAAAGAAAUAAAUGAAAUAAAAGAAAUGAAAAAGAAAAACAAAGCAAACGAAACAGAGAAGAACAGGAGAGAAAGAAAGGAAAGAAAGAAAGAAAGAGAGAAAAGGGAAAAUCAAGAUUUUGAAGCUUUAAACUUUAAUAGGUAUGUUAAUUUAGCCAUUUUUACUUACUUUUGAUAUUUUAAAAGCUUUAGAAUAAAGUUUUGAUGAAAUUAAGUUGAUAUUUUGAAAGUUAUUAGAUUUCUAAAUAUUGUUCAUGUUGAGUAAAAUUAUGAAUUAAGGGAUAAAUUGAUAGAAAUUCAAGUUAGAAAUGAAAUAAGGAUUGAAUUGUAAAGUGAUUCAUAAGUUUUAUGCUUUAAGGACUAAAUUGAAAGAAUUUCGAAAUUAUGGUUUUAUGAUGAAAAAUAGAUAAUUAUGUCUAAGUUUCGUUAAAAAUUGAGUAGAAAUAAAGUAUGAAUUAAUAUAGAAAAGUAAGUGAAUUUAGUUAGAUUAAAUUGAAAUUAAAAGUAAAAAAUCAACAUUUUGCACUAAGACUAUUUUGGACAGCAGCAGUAGUCUAAGUUUGAAAAAUCACCAAAAAUUUUAGAAAUUGCAUUAGAGGAUGAAUAAAAUAUGAAAUUAAAGCUUAUUAAGUCUAGUUUCUUAUAAAAUAAACAGUAUAAGCAAUUGAAUUGUAAAUUAUGAGAUAUAAUAAAUUUUGUGAGACAAGGUCAGAAUGAAUUCGGGUUCCCCUGUUCUGACUUUGGAAAAUCACCAAAAAUUGGAGAAAGAUAAUUAGAGGGUUAAAGUUAUAUUUUUAGAAUCCCUAAUGAGUCUAUUUUUAGGAUAAAUCAACAGAAAUAUUAUCCGAGUUCUGAACUGUGAGAUAAUUAAUUUUUAGUGAAGAAGGGUCGAAACUAUCAGACAGCAGAAUAGGGGUGAAUUUAAAGAAUAAACAGUACUUAAUGGCUAAACCAAAAAUUCUGAAAAUUUUAUGGUAAGAAGAUUUAUGAGUCUAGUUUCAGGAAAAAUUAACGGAUCUUAAUUUAGAUUUCUGUAACUCAAGAUAUAAAUUAGUAAUGUAUUAAUGAUUAUGAAUUGUAUUAAUUUCGUAGUCAAUGUGGUACCGAAAAUCUCGGCUAAGAAAGGACAAGACAAAGUCAACGGGAGUUAGCUCAAAAAUUACGGUUUGUAUUUAUAUAACCCGAACUUAAUAUUUAAUUAUUGAAUUUAUUAUUUAUUAUGUAUGGUAGGUGCAUUGAUUAAAUUAUUUGAAAUAAAAUGAAUAUUGAUUGAAAUUGAAGGGUGAAUUUAAUUAAUAAUUGUUGUACUUUAAUUGAAUGUUAUGGUAAAUAAUUAAAGUAUAAAUUAUUGGUAUUGUGUUUUUAUUGAAAUGAUUUGAUUUGAAAAUGUGGUGAAAUAAUUAUGAACAUAUGUUUAUUGUGGAAUUUAAUUAUAUGAAAAUGAAAAGUGAAUUGAAUUGUAUUAAAUUAUGAAUUAAUGUGAAUAACUGAGAUAUAUAUACAUUGAAUUGAAUGAAAAUGUAUGAGAUUGUGAAAAUGUGUGAAUAUAUGUAAUUAUUGGAAUGGUAUAUUAAGGAAAGAAUUAUUGAAUUGAGAAAGUGAAUUAUAAUUGAUACUGAAAUGAGAUAGAAAUUAUACUGAAAAGUGAGUUAAAUACCCUAUUAACUAGUCGGGCUAGUCGGAUAUAGUUGGCAUGCUAUAGGAUAUGGAAGAGUACGGGUUUUGCCGGCUUACUGAUCAUGCACUUAUGUGCCGACUACUGUUACUGUUACCAUUACUGUUACCGAUUCGAUACUUUGUGUGUCAAAUACUGUUACUGUUACCGUUAUCGAUUCAACACUUUGUGUGUUGAAUACUGUUACUAUUACUGUUACUGUUCUGGAUUUGUUCUGAUGAAGUACUCUGUGUACCGUAUUGCUACUGUUACUGUUACUGUUUUGGCUUUGGCCGAUGAGGCACUAUGUGCCGUACUGGUGUGUUGGUUGGAUCCGUGUAUCCGUCUGAGUCCGAGUCAUGUUAAUAGGGGUAAAUAAAGGUAUAAAAUAACUGAUUAUUUAUGAAUAAUUGACUGUUACUGGAUAACCAAUCAAUUGAUCAAUAUUGAAUAACUGGUUAUUAUUGAAUAAUUGAUUGUUACCGAAUAACUGACUGUUACUGAAUAAAUAAUUGUUCUGAUUGUUAAUGAACAUUACUGAUUGAUUAAUUGCUAUUGAAAUUAAUAAAUGAUUUGAAAUUUAAAGUAGACCAAAACAUUGGUUGGAAAGUGAAUGUUUGAAUACUCAUUGAGUUUGAAUAGUUUGAUAUAUAUAAAUUAAUAAGUUUUAUAAUUGCUUAAGUGUUCAGAUUAUAGAAAUACCACUGAGUGUAUACUCAGCGUAUGGUUUGUUUCCGUGCGCAGGUUAAGUUAAGGCUAGACUGUUGAAUCAGCAUCCCAGGCCGAUCCCGAAUUCAAUGAGUUAAAGUAUGUUGAGUAUUGAUAAUGGCAUGUACCUAGGAUGUUUAAUGAGAGUCAUUUAGGUUGUAAAAGUAUUGAUGAAAUAAGUAAAUUAUGGUUGGCAACGGUAUAUAGUAUGAAUUUUGAAAUUUAUAAAAAAAAUUGUAUUGAUUCUAAAUUAUUUCCAAAUUGAAUUUACUGUUCAUAUUGGACCCCGAGGGCCCAUUAAAGGGACGACAUCUUAAAACUAGGAUGUGUGUGAAUAUUUAUUUUAAUUAAUGACCGGAAUUGGACUGUACUGACUGGUAAUGUCUUGUAACCCUGUUCCGGCGACGGUAUAGGGUUAGGGGACGUUACACUAUAAAUGUUCUGUAUGUACUGAUAAAACUCUGUAACCUUAUUUUGGUGACGGAUACGGGUUAGGGUGUUACAAUUUUUGCUUUAUGUUUGGCCAGAGUUGGGCCUAACUGGGAUUCUGAGUGGUGGAUGUGUAGUGGGAGUCGAGGGAGAAAAUUAAGGGAUUGAGUUGCAGUGGAUAACUAAGUAGUGGGUGCUUGAGAUAAUGUGGGUGAUUGAGUAAAUCAGUUUUUCAAAUUCUCUCUUUAGAAAAACUGACACUUCUUCCUCCUUAUUAUUUUUCCUUUCUUUCUCUAUUGUUUUCUUUUCCCCACUUGCUGCAGAAAUUCCUUAGAAAUUCCCCUCUUUUUGCUUUAAUUUUAUUUUUUUUUCCAUUGCGACGUAAAUUGUUGGCGGGUGGUAAGUAGUAUAUUGGUUGGUAUCGUUCUUAGAUGAUUGUUUUCAUUUUUGUGAGUCUAAAUUUCUAGGUUUUGGAAAAAGCAUAUCGUGUGGAGUAAGGCUCUCAUUGUAUUGUUUCGUAACGAAUCAAUUUGAGGUGUUGGGGGUAAGUUUUAAUCGCUUUAUGGAUGAGUAUUCUAGUUUCGGGUUCAGUUAUAGUUCAAUUGUUAAAUGAUUAAUUGAGUGGAAAUUCAUGGAAUGUAGGUUCAGGAAGGCUCGGAGGUCGUUUCAACUUAAAUCAAAACCAGGUGUGUACUCGAUUGCACAAAAAAUGAGGUUUCAGCGAAAGUCAAAAACCUCACUGUCAACGCCACAUGGGCAUGUGGUCGCCCAUGUGGUAGGCCGUGUGAUGCACACGGGCGUGUAUUAGACGAGGCCAGGCCGUGCGCACAUGACAUGGCCGUGUGUGACACACGGGCUAAAUUAAUUUAGGCUAUGUGGGCCACAAAGGCGUGUGGGCCCACACGGGCGUGUAGGAUUUUGGGUCAGGCCGUGUGAUCCACACAGUCAAGGAAAAUUUAGGCCAUGUGGGCCACACAGGCAUGUGGGCCCACAUGGGCAGGCCACAUGGGCGUGUAAGCCUAUUUUCACUAAAUUGAUUGCUAAGGUUACACGGGUCGCCCAAGCCGACUGUGAACCUACUGUAGGGUCGGUAAGCAUCACUUAAACCCCUAAUUGUGUGAACUGACUGUUUGAUUUAUAUAAUAAGCAUGAUGAUAGUAUGCAUGUAUACUAAACUGGUUACAUGUACUGAUAUCAUGAGAUAGCAUGUCAUGAUUUGUAUGUUGCAUUGCAUAGGGUUGGGUUGAUUAUAUUUGGAGUAAGUGUACUCAAAGGCUCUUAAUCUUAAUAUACUGGCAGUUCAGCUACAAAGUAUUGUUUUGUGCUGCAUUCAGUACUACCUGGAGUGUAGGGAUGAGUGGGUUGAUUUAAUCCCCACAUGGAGUGUAGGGUUGGACGAUGAUGGUGUGUAGAGACUGGUUGGGUAGGACUUUGUUACUGAAUACUACAUGAUGCUACUGAUACUGUGAUAGGCUAAGGCCCUAAUGCAUACUGAUACUGUGAUGGGCUAAGGCCCUACUGCAUAUUUGAUACUGUACUGAGAUGGGCUAAGACCCAAAUCGUUACUGAUACUGAAAGGGGCUUAGGCCCAAAACUAUAUGACUGUGCACUGUGUUUACUGUUGUUUGUUUUCUAUGGGAUUACACUGAGUUUAUGUAAACUCACUAUUUAAUGUGCACAGGUAAUCCCCAGACUUAACGGAUCGGUGCAGCGGUGGACUCGAUGGUGGCCAUACGUAUUUUUAAACCAUUUUAAUUUCAGUUUUGGUAUUUAUUUCUUAAUUAUUUUCUGCGUUAUUUUUUAUGUAAAUUGGACUUUUUGAACUGUUUUCUUUUAUUUCGAAUUUUAGACUAUUUUCAUGGAUUUAAUAACUGCACAAACUCAACAAACAAACGGUUUUCUCUAAAACAAAGGGGUUUUUUUAAGAUGGACGGAUUUACCUAAUUAAUUCUGUUUUUCAUAAAUUAAAUGAUUUCUAAAGCUUCCGCAAUGAAUUAUGUUUUAAAACAAUUGAUUAAAUAAGUAAGCGAUUUUGGAGUUAACAAGAGUAAACAAAUGAAAACAGUUUUAUCGUAACAACUUAGUUUCAACACACUAUCAUGUGACAUCGCCAGAUUCGGCCAUAACGUCUAGGCCGGGUUUGGGGUGUUACAUUAGGUGUAGGAAAUUCUACUCUAAUUUCUUUUAUAUCCAUAACUUGUUUUCAAACACUCCCACUAACUUCAGUAUUUUCAAGGAAUCUAGCAUUGCUAGUCUCUAUGUUUCAUACUAUUAUUUGGUACAUAAAACCUAUAUCCUUUAUAUUUCUCUAAAUAACCAAUAAAAUAUCCACUUUCAUACAAAAAUCUAAUUUUCUUUCAUGUGGAUUAUAUAUUCUUGCUUUCGCUUGGCAACCUCAAACAUGUAGGUGCCUUAAGUUAGGUUUCUUUCAGUCCACAACUCAAAAGGAGUUUUUGGAACUACCUUACUAGGAACCUUAUUUAAUAAAUAUACAAUAGUUUUGAGUGUAUGCAUCCACAAUGAUAUAGGUAAUGAGGAGUUACUCAUUAUACUCCUAACCAUAUCAAAUAAAGUCUGAUUAUGCCUUCUACAACACCAUUUUGUUGAGGUGUGCCUAACAUAGUAUACUGUGCACAUAUGCUGGCACUUUCAAGGAAUUUAGCAAAUGGACUUCAACAUUGUCCUAAUUUAGUAAAAUUUCCAUAAAAUUCACCACCUCUAUCAAACCUUACUAUUUUCACUUUUCUAUCUAAUUGACUCUCAACCUUAUUAACGUAUAUUUCAAGGGCAUUUACUAAUUGAUAUUUUUCAUCAAGCAAAAAGAUGUAACAAUACCUGAAAAAUAAUUAAUAAAGGUGAUAAAAUACUUUUCUCCGCUAAAAGAUCGAACAUCAAAAGGUCUACAUAUAUCAGUGUGUAUUAUCUCAAGAAGCUAUUUACUUCUUAUGGCGCCCUUCUUAGUAUGUUUGGUUUGCUUUCCCUUAAUGUAAUCCACACAUAUACCAAGAUUAACAAAAUGUAGAUUCGAGGUAGAAUCUCGUUAUUUAUUAAUCUUUCUUUGGAUCCAUUACUCAAACGUUUAUGCCACAAGUAAGCAAAAUAUUCUUUUAGCUACUAGGCUUAAUUCCAACAUUGAUUUGAUCAACAAGUAAGGAAACCACACAGAUAUUAUCAAGUUUCAAUUCAUAUAAACCAUCAAUAAGGAUUUUUGAACCUAAAAAAGAUCAUUUCAAAUAAAUUAAAACAAUCAUGUCCAAACUUAGCAUUAAACUUAGAAACAUCAAGUUUUGUAAAUGAUAUAAGGUCUUUAGAAACUGAAGGUCCAUAAAGAGUUUGAAAUAAGUAUAAGUGAUAACCAGUAUUCAAGACCAAAUGAUAAGUCCUUAUACCUUCAAUUGAAGCCUUCAUAUGGUUCCCCAUACAUAUAGGAAAUCUUUAGUUAGGUUUGUGGUUUGGAUCAAAAGGAAUCAUUGCAUCAUGUUGGAUACAUGAGUAGUAGCACCAAAAUUAAACCACCAACUAUUAUUAGGAACUUUAGUUAAGUUUGACUUUGAAACAUACAGAAACAUAAAAUUUUCCUUUCUUUUCAAACUAGGCUUUAUGUUUUCGGCAAUCUUUCUGAUAGUGUCCUACUUUCAUGCAAAAGUGACACUUAUUUUCCAUUCUUUUCUUUUUAUUGCCAUUAGAAAUAUUAAUGGCAAAAUUUUUUUCUUAAACUUGUUGGUUUUUGCCUUAAGUUCUUUGUCAGUUCCUUAACCUAUAAGGUGGAUGGAAUUACUUCCUUGACUUUUUAAUCUUAGUUUCUCCUAAAUGAGAUUACUAGUCAAUUCAUUAACAUCCCACUUUUCUUAAAUAAUUUUAUAGUUAAUUUGAAAUGACUCAUAAUUCAGAGGUAGUGAGUUCAAUAUGACCUGCACUAAAAAAAAGUCAUCCGCCAUCAUCCCCAAGGUCUUUAGUCUUAUUGUAAUAUUAGCCAUCAUAAUGAUAUGUGAAAAAAUUCAGUUUGAAAAUGGUUUCUUGAAUAGCGGAAAAUAAAAAUUUUGAAAACCGAGCCAAUUUGUGAUAUUUAUAGCAAUAGACUUUUUAUCGAAAUCGCACCUAUGUGUUCAGUUAGACGGAUCCUUGUCGUUCUCGGCUUUCAACCAAAUGACCUUCUCUGCUAUUCUCGUACCACGAACUAUGUUGAGUGUGGGCUUAAACAAUUUAAAUCAAACGCAGAACUUGAAAUAGUUUUCUUUAUUUUCAGUGUGAAAGAAAAAACUCUUCUUAGUAGAAACCGAUAAAAUUGGUAUUCUAGAAAAUUAAUUUAAUACUUAGAGAAUAAACUCUCACUAUUUUCAGACAGAGUAACAAUAUCUUAAAGUUGCAUAUCUAUCCCUACCGGUGCUAUCUAUUUAUAGGUAGAACAAGUAAAACCCUUGUUGAAUUGAAUAAGUCUAUUUCAAAUAGAAAAAUGAACUAUUAGUCCAACUAGAAGGAUAAGGGUAACAACCCUAGUUAAUUAUACUAGGGUUUGUGACCGCCUUUGGACGUACCAACUUCCAGAGUAAGAAUGUUGCACAAAAUAUAUCAAAUAGGUGGUAUUCGCAAGUAUACGGGUCAGAUUGUAAUAUAGUUACAACGAAAUAGGAUAGUACUCCGAAGAUCGUACCCAAAGGAGGCAAGCACUAAAUUAACCCUAACCUAAACACAAAUAGAUCUAAUUAGCACUUUUAAUAAAUUAUAUUACAAAUAAACAUAAAGAAUUUUUUUUGAUAUUUUUGUAAAUAAAGAAUAAAAUAAAAAAAAGGCUUUGAGAAAUUUAAUAUAGAAACUGAAUCAGAUAUAACCAUGGGUUAUUAGCUCGCUUUGGUAAUCAUAACUAAUUGUCGCUUUGGGUUCCCUGUUCAAUCAAUUAGUCGUUACCCUAGCAAGAUCUCUUGAUCUUCCACUAGACUAAUGAGUCUGCAGAACUACUUAUCCCUUGACCUCAUAGUCUGGAUCUAUUUGAGGCCAAUGUGUUCAUAGAUAGGCCAUACCAAUUUUGGGUUAAUUCCCACCUGGAUGACUUUCUAGGGUCGUCAAGCCUAGUAUAAGUUCUUCCUCUCUCGAACAACUGAUCUGCUAAGAAAACCCUGCACAAUAAUCAAUUAAUCAUACCUCAACUCCCCAUAAGAGGAUUAGUUCCUUAUGAAUCUCAAAAACAUAAUAAAUUUGAUGCAAAAGAUAAACAUUAAUAACUAAUCAAGACAAAUAUUUAAGAGAAUCCUAAAUUGUAUUGGUUGAAACACGAAGUCCAUGAAGAGUUGAUAAAGUUCUACAAAUCAGAUCCGUCAACAUAUGCAAAUAGAAAAGUUGAAAAUAAUCUAAAACUGAAAUUACAAAUAAAAAUUAUAAAGUAUGAAAGUUGUGCUUUAACAAGUGUUUAAGAGCUUAUUUAUAGAGGGUUGUUGUUAUCCUCAACCCUAGGUCAGUUGACAUUCUCGUGCUUAAUAUUUGAUUGUGCAGACCAAAACAGGAUCAAUAUUGCGACACCCUAGUACCUAUAUCGUGACAUGCAGUAUGCUCGUACUCAGGGUAUCUUCAAGGGUGUGCCAGGGCAUCCCUUAGCUAUGUCGUGACAGAAAAGGCAGGCUCGAUAUUCUUGCAUUUUGCUUCUUAUGUUGCGAUGCCAAGCUCCUCAUGUUGCAACGCAACGCCUAUUAUUGAGUUUGUAUACCCUCUAAUGGUCUCCUACACACUCAGUAAGUAUAUUAGCUCAUCCUUAGGCCUAAUUUAGCCCCUAAGAUCAAUAAAAGAUGCAAAUACACUUUUUAUUGUAUACAAAUGAAAUUAUAAAAACUCGACUAAAACAUAAUAAAAGUGCUUGUAUUCAAGCUCCUCAAGUGCAAAAACUAGUUUAAUCUACUACACCGAAUUACGACAAAUUAGUUUGUCAUCCCUCUCUUAAACAUGAAGGGCUUUUAGGCCUCUCUCUUAUCGAGUCUAAUUACAAGACUUCUUGGACUUUUAACCCAGUACUUUAUAAUUCUAUCCAACCCGGUACUUGUUUUUCUAUUUCCCAAAAUAAACAUCUCAAAUUAAUAAAUUAUUUCCUAAUUAAAUAAUUUUCUCAACCCAAUUCUAAUCCUAUUAAAAUUAUGACAAUUUUACUGUAAAAGAGUCUAUGAGAAAAUAUAUUUAAUAGUUAUAUAUUCAAUGGGCUUAUUAUGACCAAAUGAUUUAUUUCUAUUUUCAAACUCGUUAAAAUCAUGACAAUUUUACUGUAAAAGAAUCUAUGAGAAAAUAUAUUUAAUAUUUCUAUAUUUAAUGGGUUUACUAUAACCAAAUGAUUUAUUUCCAUUUUCAAACUUCAUUUAAUUUGAAAACCAUAAAUUCAUUUCCAAGUCAUUUUCAUUUUUCAUUUUGAAGAAAACCACAUUCAUUUUCAAAUGUUUUCAUUUCUUGAUUUUUAUUUUCAUUUUGGAGAAAAUCAUAUUCAUUUCCAAAUAUUUCUCAUUUCUCCAUUUUCACAAUUUGUAUCCAUUUCUGUUCAUUUGAUUCAACAUGCAAUUUAUUUUUGGUUUCAACGACUAGCGCAGGGACCAAUGAAACAUAUGUAAUUAGGCCUCAAAUGAUUUAUAAUUAAGUUCUAGUUUUUCACCUAUUAAUUAUAAACUCAUUUAGUUAUGAAGUCAUUCCACUAUAGUAUCAUGAUUGAGCUCUCCCUAACGACAUACCAUUACGAAAGCAACUCGAUUAGUUCUCGUCCAAUGACCUUGUCAUAAAUGUGUUACCCUCAUAGGAUAUCUUUAAUCUCUUUAGGAUAAAUUCGUUCUCCCAAUAUGAUCCUAUUUUAUCUCAUUGUAACCAUUGCAUCUUUCCUUCAUGAAAAGUCAAUUACUAUGUAACAUCCUAUAUCCAACCCAAUCAUCGGGUUCAAGUACCAAAUGCCACAAUUAGACCAUAUUACUUAACAACAUAUUUCCAAUUUAUUUACUUCUACGUUAAAUUUAAUGUUAUGUUCCCAUAAAACUUUAAUCCAAUUAAUUAACUAUCCAUAAUAUUUCCAUAAAUGAACAUCAUAUGAAACAUCCUAUUUUAUGACUAACUAACUCAGUAGACUACUGUUCUUUAUAAGCAUAUCCAUCUAUUGAAAUAUUUUAUACAUGUAAUCUGAUAAAUUGGAUUUUGCUUUAUUACAUAUUCAAUCCCCGAGGAAUAGCCUAUAAGGGCACCCCUCUAUAUGUAUGAUACCACAUCAAAGAAGUCCACAUGGAUUCUGCGAGGUUUGGCUUGGUCCUUCGCACGAUAACCAUGUCAGCCUUUGAUCUUGCAAUCAAGGCAAACCACUCAUAAGUUCGAAUGAUCUUAGUGAGUUUCCAUACAUCAAUUAUUAAAUAAUAUGUAUUGAUAUUACAAGUAAUAAGGAUGAAUGCACAUAAAUAAACUCCUUGAGUUUCAUAUAAGCUCUUGCAAAUUAGAUGGUGUGGUUGACGCCUAUAAGUUCUCUUUGAAUGAAUCAUUGGCGAACAUAUCGGGGGCAGAUUUGGACAUAAUAAUACUAUUUCUGACACCCUUUUUUUGAGACUUGACUUGUUAAGCUUCACCUCAUGUGUAACACUCCUAACUCGUAUCCGUCGCUGAAACAGGGUUACGGAGCAUUACCAGAAUAUAUAGAUCAAAUACAGACAUUUCAUAUUAUUUAACAUUCAUGUCAAAAAUUAUUCAUAAAGUUCUUUAUAUAAGCCCUCGAGGCCCAAAACAUACAUUAGAAACAAGACGAGACUAAACCGGGUACUCAGAGAAUUUUUCACAAAAUUUUAAAAUUUUUCCAAGGUGUAGGGGACACACGCCCGUGUGGUCAGGCCAUGUGGCUCGCAUAGCCAAGAAGGAUGACCAUGUCUCUGGCCAUAUGGGCAUUUGAAAUAGGGCACACAGUCGUGACCCAGCCCGUGUUCGUACCCAUAUAACUCUUUGACUUAGGUCAUAUGACCAAGUCACAUGCUCGUGUGCUAGGCCAUGUGAACAUAAAAAUUUGCAUUAAAUAGGUGCAAGGGUCACACGGCCAAGCCACACACCCGUGUGCUAGUCCAUGUGAUCAAGUCUAAGCAUUUUGUUUUGAAAUUUUAAAGAUGCAAUGGACACACAGCUAAAACACACGCCCGUGUCUCUGCUUGUGUGGACGAAAAUAGGUUAUUUUCAUGGCCACUUUUCAUACCCAAAUUUGUCUCCACCUACAUAAACACUUUAACACAUACACAAGCCAAUCCAAAACAUUUAAACCAAGCCAAAAAUCAAGUCUUAAGCAUGACAUAUUACUUCAUAAAUCCAUAUAUCCAAACUUACCUAUUUGACCAAAAAUACAUUUAGACAUACUUAUGAAAUUUACUAUCAAUUAUCCAUACUUAACACUCAUAUCAAACAUGACAUUAUCUCAUAUAUAUAUACAUCAAAACACAUUCAUCACAAGCUAUUCCAAUGGUUAAUUACAACCAAGACAUUUAUUUGCCAACAUUGGUUAUUUAAACCUAUACAUGGCAUUAUAACCAAAAAUUAAUUUACUAUUUAUACUGAAAUGAGCAGAUCGAUAGUCUGAUGUGUCUCCGACCAGCUUCCAACCUUAACAAACUUCUGAGCUACUAUAAAAUAGAGUAAGCAUUUAAUGCUUAAUAAGUUCGUAUAAUAGGAAGUAAACUUACCAUUCAUUUACAUUUAGGGUAAGCAUACAAAAUGCAUCCAAGCAAUUUGGCUAAUAGCCUAAACACACAACUUCAUCAACAUGUUAGUCAUGUAUUUCAUGUGAAUAUCAAGAAUAAAGGAUGAGCUAAUCAAAUAUCAAAUUUCCAUGUGUUUUCAGGUGUAUACAGGUAGUAUCUCAUUUAGAAUUCACCUUAACUUAUAUCAAAACUUUGUUCGUUAAACCAUUUGAAAUAUUGAUGGAUAUACAGCAAUACAAAGUGUAUGAAUCUGUAAUCCGUCAAUUCAUAUUCGAGAGUGCUCAUCACAUAAUUGGGAAGCCAUCUCUCAAGCCAUAUAACGGGAAGCUCAUGUAAGCCAUGUAAUGGGAAGCUUAUCCGGGCUGUAUAACAAGAAGCUCGUAAGAGCCAUAGUCGUGAAGCUCAUGUGAGCCAAUAACAGGUAGCUCUGAAGAGCCAUUAAUCGAGAAGCUCUGGAUAGCCAUAUAUCGAGAAGUUCAAGUGAGCCAUAUCGGGAAGCUCCGGAGAGCCAUUAAUCGGGAAGCUCACAAAGAGCCUUUAAUCGAAAAACUCACAAAGAGCCAUAUAACGGGACGCUCAUAAUAGUUGUGAUGUGUCUACACCACAUGCAAAAUCACAACCGAUCGGGAUGCUCAUGAGAGCUAAUAACAGGACACUUUUUCGAGCUGUGGUGUGUCCGCAACAUAUGCAGGACAACAACCAAUUCGAGAAUCUUAUAUCCAUCGAAUUUCAUUUAUUCAAACAGAACUUAACAUUUAUAGAGCUUUGUUGGAUAUGUAAUAAAUUUCAUGUCCAUGGAAAUUAUACAAUCACAUACAUACAAUUCAAUUCAAACAUAUAAAUAUACAAUUUAGUUACACGAACUUACCUUGACAAGUGUUCGUUGAUUUGUUGUCUACUAGUCUGACACUUUCUCUUUUCCUCGAUCUAAUUCCGUAUUUUGUCUAUCUGGAUCUAUACUAGGAAAUUUAACUCAAUUUAAUGCAAUUCAUAUUCAAUUCAAUCUAUUUCACAUCUUAGGCAAAAUUACUAUUUUGCCCCUAUACUUUUAUUUAAUUAUGAUUUCGUCCCUAAGCUCGGAAAAUGAAAUUCAUGUAAUUUAACUCUUACUCCAAGCCUAAUCGAUUUUUACAUGUAACAUUAACAACCCAUGUAUUUCAUAAAAUUUAGAAUUUUUCCAUGAAUUUUACAUAUUUAUAAUGUAGUCCUUAAAUCAUAAUUUCAUCAAAAUUCACUUUACAAAAGUUGUUUAUCUAUCAACAAACUUUCAUUUUCUACCAUAAAUUUCAUAAUUCAUACAUACUCAUCCAUGGAAAAAUCCUAGUACUUUGAUAACUUUAUAAAUUAAUCCCCAAGAUAGCUAGAUUAAGCUAUUACGAUCUCGAAAACAUAAAAAUUACUAAAAACGGGACAAGAAUCCAUACCUAAUUAAGCCAAAACAACUUGCUUGAACUCAACACCCAAAAACUAGGGUAUCCAUGUCUUUUAAUUGGGAAAGAUGGUAUAAAAUGAUGAUAUUAUAUAUUUAUCUUAUUUAUCAUCUUUUAUUUAUUUACUUUCCAAUUUAGUCCCCCUUUUUUUUCUUAAAUUUCCAUGGAUGAAUCAUCAUACUUAUCUACUAACUCCUUUCAAUGGUCUAUUUACCAUAUAAGGACCUCCAAUUUUGAAUUUCAUAACUAUUUGAUACUUAUAACUACUACUACUCAACUUUUGCAUUUCACGCAAUUUGGUCAUUUUAUCAAUUAAACAUGUAAUCGGUAAAAUUUUCUUAACAAAAUUUUUCUACAAUAUUCCUAUCAUACGGUAGACCAUAAAAUAAUUUUAAAAUAACUUUUUUUACGGACUCGAAUUUGUGGUCCCAAAACCACUAUUCCGAUUUCACUGAAAAUAGGUUGUUACAUCAUGAUUUUAUUCUACUUUAUUGGUUUGAUUCAUCAAAAGAUAGCCACGUAAGUAGGAAUACAGAAUGUCAAUUAACUUUGGUGGGCUUGUAGGCGUUUCACCAAAAAGGUGGAUUCUUACCUUGAUUCCUUUGUGUUGAACUCAACAUCGUCUUACUCUAUUAUCUCGACAUUUACUUACACCCUCGUAUGUGGCCUUCGAGUCUAGGUUCUGGCGAAUAGUUUUAAGAACUACUCCUUUCUUGUAGAAACGUACUUGUAAGAUAGCCUCGCUAGCUUUCCUUUUCAAGAUAGUCCAAAUAAAUAUUCCUUUUUAUUUGAUAGUCUUUGACGGACUUUCCAAAACCAAUAGUCCUUGGCAGACUUCCCUUCUUUAGAUAGCCCUUGGCAGACAUUCCACCUAAGCUAGUCUUUGGCAGACUUCUUUCUGGCGACCUCUUUUCCAUGAAGCAGUUAGAAAUAAAGUCUAGAGAAUCGUCUCACUUUUUCAUAACCAAUUUUGGCUUGUUCGUUUCCUUUGACGGACUCUUAAUGGUAGAUACAUAUUUACAAUUACUCUGGAAAAAAAAUCCCUUUUUUCCUAUGUAUAUCCAUGUGCAAGACGCUUUCACUUAUUCCCCAUGGCUUCGCAUCUUGGAUGGACCUCUUAUUAGCACACUUGUUAAUGUUCCCAUAUGCGUUAUAACCGUUAUGACAAACUUGUCAUCACGCCAUUCAUAUAGUAGUUUUCACGUGUAUGCACUGACGGGCUUCCCUGUUUAUUGUCCUAGCAAACUUCCUUUUCACCAUAAGGGCGAACUUGUUCUCCACUAGAUCAUGUCAUGGCUACCCAUAGACUUUCAACUCUGAUGAUUUAGUAGACCAUUUCAUGGUGACGCUCCAUAGAACCAGUAGAUUAUUUUCAUGAUGCCAUUCUAUAGAGCUAGUAGAUCAUUUCCAUUAUAUCGCUCCGUAGAGUCAAUAGACCAUUUAUCCAACCAAACCUCCUCAACUCCUCUUUGUUUUUUAACUUGAACACCUACAUGUUCGCUCGCAAAGCCAAACUAAUAUCAUAUUUCAGUGACUCCAAUUCCCUUUCAAUCUGCCCAUUCCUUCAUUACACCAAUUUUACUAUCUUCACUAACCCUCCAAUACUUCCCUUUGUACUCCACAUUUUAUAAACAAGCAUAUCAUGUACACCAUUACAAUCAACACAAUUUAUUCUUGCAACUUUACUCAUUUAAAAAACCAUUCUUACAACUCUCUUACUUAUAUAGACCUAAGCAUGCAUAUGUUCUCCAUACAAUCCUAGACAACAACACUCUUUACACAACUAUAGACUCAGACCAAACUCAAUACAAAAUAUACAAACAACAUAAUAACUAGUGAACUCCCAAACGUGGAGUACAGAAACUCACCUGCUGUCAUUCCUCCCUUACAACUUAGCUUUUCCAAUAGCCAGAAUCUCUUCUUCCUGGUUAGCUAAGCAUGAUAACCAAAUAUACCGAUUAAAUCAAAGGCAUUCAUGCUUUAAAAUUCAAAAUCUAGAAACCUAUAGAAACCUUUCAAUUUUUUUUACAAAAACCCCCAACUUCUCUUUUUCUCAAAUCCAUGAGUACAGAAAGAUUUAGAAGCUUACUAGUUCAUCAUAUUCUUAACUUUUUAGACUCAAUCCUCAUGUUUAUUGCUCCAUGCAGAGCUUUCCUUGGACAUUCUCUUUUUCAAAACAACUAAAUAAGAAGAUGAAGAAGAGAAGAAAAUGAAACAAGAUUGAGAAGAAUUUCCCCCCAGAAUAAUACUUCUUGACUAUAUAUAUAAUAUUACACGCACGAUCACCUAAAAACCUCAUCAAAACCAAUAGUUGACAUCAUUGUGCUUCCCACUCAGGAAUAAGAUAGUUCUAAUGUAACUUAACUAGAAUUAUAACCCAAUUAUUUGCUAUUCAACCACAAAAAAUUUCAAAAUUUUUUUACAGUAGAGGCUACCAAACCUACGGUUUCUUUCAAUUAACUCCCAACUUUUCUCUAAAUUUUGAACUUUAAUAGACACCGAGUGUGACAUACUACCAAAUACUAAUCAAGUCAUUCUUGACAAAGAAAAAUGACUCGUGACCACGUUUACUUUUCAUCAACUAUG